rnacentral:rRNA from 1 species
AUACGGAGGGUGCAAGCGUUAAUCGGAAUUACUGGGCGUAAAGCGUACGUAGGCGGUUCGUUAAGUUAGAUGUGAAAGCCCCGGGCUUAACCUGGGAACUGCAUUUAAAACUGGCGGACUAGAGUUGAGUAGAGGGGAGUGGAAUUUCAGGUGUAGCGGUGAAAUGCGUAGAGAUCUGAAGGAACACCAGUGGCGAAGGCGACUCCCUGGACUCGAACUGACGCUGAGGUACGAAAGCGUGGGUAGCAAACGGGAUUAGAAACCCCUGUAGUCC